AUGGAUUCAGCAGCACAUACAUACUAAAAUUGGAAUGAUAUGGAGAUUAGCAUGACCCCUGCACAAGGUUGACAAGCAAAUUGGUGAAGUGUUCCAUAUUUAC